rnacentral:rRNA from 1 species
UACCCGGCUGAACUUAAGCAUAUCAAUAAGCGGAGGAAAAGAAACCAACAGGGAUUGCCCCAGUAACGGCGAGUGAAGCGGCAACAGCUCAAAUUUGAAAUCUGGCCCCAGGCCCGAGUUGUAAUUUGCAGAGGAUGCUUUUGGCGCGGUGCCUUCCGAGUGCCCUGGAACGGGACGCCACAGAGGGUGAGAGCCCCAUCUGGUUGGACACCAAGCCUAUGUAAAGCUCCUUCGACGAGUCGAGUAGUUUGGGAAUGCUGCUCUAAAUGGGAGGUAUAUGUCUUCUAAAGCUAAAUACCGGCCAGAGACCGAUAGCGCACAAGUAGAGUGAUCGAAAGAUGAAAAGCACUUUGAAAAGAGGGUUAAAUAGUACGUGAAAUUGUUGAAAGGGAAGCGCUUAUGACCAGACUUGGGCCCGGUGAAUCAUCCAGCGUUCUCGCUGGUGCACUUUGCCGGGCACAGGCCAGCAUCAGUUCGCCGCGGGGGAUAAAGGCUUCGGGAAUGUGGCUCCCUCGGGAGUGUUAUAGCCCGUUGCACAAUACCCUGGGGCGGACUGAGGUUCGCGCAUCUGCUAGGAUGCUGGCGUAAUGGUCAUCAGCGACCCGUCUUGAAACACGGACCAAGGAGUCGUCUUCGUAUGCGAGUGUUCGGGUGUAAAACCCCUACGCGUAAUGAAAGUGAACGCAGGUGAGAGCUUCGGCGCAUCAUCGACCGAUCCUGAUGUUCUCGGAUGGAUUUGAGUAAGAGCAUACGGGGCCGGACCCGAAAGAAGGUGAACUAUGCCUGUAUAGGGUGAAGCCAGAGGAAACUCUGGUGGAGGCUCGCAGCGGUUCUGACGUGCAAAUCGAUCGUCAAAUAUGGGCAUGGGGGCGAAAGACUAAUCGAACCUUCUAGUAGCUGGUUUCCGCCGAAGUUUCCCUCAGGAUAGCAGUGUUGAACUCAGUUUUAUGAGGUAAAGCGAAUGAUUAGGGACCCGGGGGCGCUAUUUAGCCUUCAUCCAUUCUCAAACUUUAAAUAUGUAAGAAGCCCUUGUUGCUUAAUUGAACGUGGGCAUUCGAAUGUAUCAACACUAGUGGGCCAUUUUUGGUAAGCAGA